UUUAAUGAGCCGAUGGAUUGAUUUUUUGUUUGUUGAUUCUUUUCUUUGCGUUUGGGAUUAUGCGGUGGAUGAUAUCAUUUUUGGUUAAUUGGAUUCUACUGUUCACAAUUCAACUUCUCCUCUUUGUUUUCCUUCCGAUUGCUGUGUUUUUUUCCUGAAAAGUUCUGCAUGUUAUUUUGUUUUCCAACAAUGUAGGGUAUGGGAAAAGCGCUUCUCAUGUGUAUGGUUUGGUUCUGUUUUUAUCUUUUGUGCUCAAUUAUCAGAUGAUCUUGUAUGGGCAUCCUGGGUGAUAUUUUCAGUAAUCAACAGAAAUUCUUUUCUUUGGGAUUUGGAUUUGCCAUUGGUUGGAUGUCUUGGCCUUUUAUUUUUGAAAUUCCUCUGGAAGUAUGUUGGAUUAGUGACCUAUUAAGCUAUUCCAAGAGGAUGGUUGCCUUGUUAGUUCUUCUGCUAUUUAACUUUUCUUCUCUGAAUAAAUGUAGAAAGAGAGUUGUUAUUUAAUAAUUUGUUUUGAGUACGUAUGACUUCUCUGUAUAGUCUUAAUUCCUGUAUUUUUCUAACUCUGAGAGUUAUUUCCCUUUUGUUCAUUUCAUCUGUGUUUUAUUAACUACAUUCAACUUGAAAUAAGUAAAAAUUUGCAUGAUCAUAGAAAAUUAUGCUUAAUUAUAA